rnacentral:rRNA from 1 species
UACAGAGGUCCCAAGCGUUGUUCGGAUUCACUGGGCGUAAAGGGUGCGUAGGCGGUCGGGUAAGUCUGAUGUGAAAUCUCACAGCUUAACUGUGAAACUGCAUUGGAUACUAUUCGGCUUGAGAGUUGGAGGGGGGACUGGAAUUCUCGGUGUAGCAGUGAAAUGCGUAGAGAUCCGGAAGAACACCGGUGGCGAAGGCGGUCUGCUGGGGUAAUGCUGACACUGAGGCGCGACAGCGUGGGGAGCAAACAGG